rnacentral:rRNA from 1 species
UAGCGGGAGGCUUAAUACAUGCAAGUCGAACGGCAGCAGGAUUAAUUUAUUAAUGGAUGGCAAGUGGCGCACGGGUGAGUAACGCGUACACAACCUGCCCUUAAGAGGGGGAUAGCCCUGGGAAACUGGGAGUAAUACCGCAUAAUAUUAUUUGGACGCAUGUUUAGAUAAUUAAAGUUUAGGCGCUUAAGGAUGGGUGUGCGUUAGAUUAGGUAGUUGGUGAGGUAACGGCUCACCAAGCCGACGAUCUAUAGGGGGCGUGAGAGCGUGAUCCCCCACACGGGUACUGAGACACGGACCCGACUCCUACGGGAGGCAGCAGUAAGGAAUAUUGGACAAUGCCCGCAAGGGUGAUCCAGCCAUCCCGCGUGCAGGAAGAAAGCCCUAUGGGUUGUAAACUGCUUUUGUAAGGGAAGAAACCCCCUGAUGCGUUAGGGGUUGACGGUACCUUAAGAAUAAGCACCGGCUAACUCCGUGCCAGCAGCCGCGGUAAUACGGAGGGUGCAAGCGUUAUCCGGAAUCACUGGGUUUAAAGGGUGCGUAGGCGGCUAAAUAA